GAUUGGCUCAAUCAAAGUACCGAACGGAAUAGUAGACGAAUUGGACCUUCCAUCUCCCCUGGAUCAGAAGGCAUCAUAGUAAAUACAGGUUGUUCUCGCAUGCCUUUCAUCUCCCCAGUUCCAGCAGGCAUAGUAAAUACAGGUUAUUUUUCAAAGCGCCAUCAUUAGCGGAAGUUCUAGAUAAUACAUUACUGAAAACAUUUGUACUAAACGAAAAAAAUAUCAGUGUAUAUAG